CCUACGGGAGGCAGCAGUGAGGAAUAUUGGUCAAUGGGAGAGAUCCUGACCCAGCCAAGCCGCGUGAGGGAAGACGGCCCUAUGGGUUGUAAACCUCUUGUGUCGGGGAAAAAAACCCGGGACGUGUCCCGGACUGCGUGUCUCCGAAGAAAACGCAUAGGCUAACUCCGUGCCGGCCGCCGCGGAAAUACGUCGGGGGCGCGCGUUAUCCGGAUGUACUGGGUGUAAAGGGCGCGUAGACGGUUCUGCAAGUCUGACGUGAAAGCCCGUGACUUAACCGCGGAACGGCUUUGGAAACUGUGGAACUGGAGUGCUGGAGAGGCAAGCGGAAGUCCUAGUGUAGCGGUGAAAUGCGUAGAUAUUAGGAGGAACACCAGUGGCGAAGGCGGCUUGCGGGACAGUAACUGACGUUGAGGCUCGAAAGCGUGGGGAGCAAACAGGAUUAGAUACUCUGGUAGU
rnacentral:rRNA from 1 species